rnacentral:rRNA from 1 species
AACCGAGAACUCCUACGGGAGGCAGCAGUGGGGAAUAUUGCACAAUGGGCGCAAGCCUGAUGCAGCGACGCCGCGUGAGGGAUGACGGCCUUCGGGUUGUAAACCUCUUUCAGUAGGGAAGAAGCGAAAGUGACGGUACCUGCAGAAGAAGCGCCGGCUAACUACGUGCCAGCAGCCGCGGUAAUACGUAGGGCGCAAGCGUUAUCCGGAAUUAUUGGGCGUAAAGAGCUCGUAGGCGGUUUGUCGCGUCUGCCGUGAAAGUCCGGGGCUCAACUCCGGAUCUGCGGUGGGUACGGGCAGACUAGAGUGAUGUAGGGGAGACUGGAAUUCCUGGUGUAGCGGUGAAAUGCGCAGAUAUCAGGAGGAACACCGAUGGCGAAGGCAGGUCUCUGGGCAUUAACUGACGCUGAGGAGCGAAAGCAUGGGGAGCGAACAGGAUUAGAAACCCCAGUAGUCCGACUGAGA